rnacentral:tRNA from 1 species
GAAAAAAUAGCUAAGUGGUUAAAAGCGUCAGAUUGUAAAUCUGUUAACAUUUAAGUUUACAAAGGUUCGAAUCCUUUUUUUCA